rnacentral:rRNA from 1 species
UACGGAGGGUGCCAGCGUUAUCCGGAUUCACUGGGUUUAAAGGGUGCGUAGGCGGGCAGGUAAGUCCGUGGUGAAAUCUCUGAGCUUAACUCAGAAACUGCCAUGGAUACUAUUUGUCUUGAAUAUUGUGGAGGUAAGCGGAAUAUGUCAUGUAGCGGUGAAAUGCUUAGAUAUGACAUAGAACACCAAUUGCGAAGGCAGCUUACUACACAGUUAUUGACGCUGAGGCACGAAAGCGUGGGGAGCAAACAGG